CAGUCGCCACGGUAAUACGUAGGGUGCAAGCGUUAAUCGGAAUUACUGGGCGUAAAGCGUGCGCAGGCGGCUUUGCAAGACAGAUGUGAAAUCCCCGGGCUCAACCUGGGAACUGCAUUUGUGACUGCAUGGCUAGAGUACGGUAGAGGGGGAUGGAAUUCCGCGUGUAGCAGUGAAAUGCGUAGAUAUGCGGAGGAACACCGAUGGCGAAGGCAAUCCCCUGGACCUGUACUGACGCUCGUGCACGGAAGCGUGGGGAGCAAACAGGAUUAGAGACCCCUGUAGUCCCUGUCUCUUAUAC
rnacentral:rRNA from 1 species